CUACGUGCCAGCAGCCGCGGUAAUACGUAGGGCGCGAGCGUUGUCCGGAAUUAUUGGGCGUAAAGAGCUUGUAGGCGGUUUGUCGCGUCUGCUGUGAAAGGCCGGGGCUUAACUCCGUGUAUUGCAGUGGGUACGGGCAGACUAGAGUGCAGUAGGGGAGACUGGAAUUCCUGGUGUAGCGGUGGAACGCGCAGAUAUCAGGAGGAACACCGGUGGCGAAGGCGGCCCCCUGGACAAAGACUGACGCUCAGGUGCGAAAGCGUGGGGAGCAAACAGGAUUAGAUACCCUGGUAGUCCACGCCGUAAACGAUGUCGAUUUGGAGGUUGUGCCCUUGAGGCGUGGCUUCCGGAGCUAACGCGUUAAAUCGACCGCCUGGGGAGUACGGCCGCAAGGUUAAAACUCAAAUGAAUUGACGGGGGCCCGCACAAGCGGUGGAGCAUGUGGUUUAAUUCGAUGCAACGCGAAGAACCUUACCUACUCUUGACAUCC
rnacentral:rRNA from 1 species